GUAGGCACCAAGCGUUGUUCGGAAUUACUGGGCGUAAAGAGUGCGUAGGCGGUCGGCCAAGUUCGGUGUGAAAUCUCCCGGCUCAACUGGGAGGGUGCGCCGAAGACUGGCUGGCUAGAGUGUGGGAGAGGAAAGUGGAAUUCCUGGUGUAGCGGUGAAAUGCGUAGAUAUCAGGAGGAACACCUGAGGUGUAGACGGCUUUCUGGACCAUAACUGACGCUGAGGCACGAAAGCGUGGGUAGCAAACAGGAUUAGAUACCCUGGUAGUCCACGCCCUAAACGAUGCGAACUUGGUGUGCGCUCUUCAUUGGGUGCGUGCCGUAGCUAACGCGUUAAGUUCGCCGCCUGGGGAGUACGGUCGCAAGGCUGAA
rnacentral:rRNA from 1 species